rnacentral:rRNA from 1 species
UCAGACGAACGCGGCGGCGUGCCUAAUACAUGCAAGUCGAACGUUCUUUUUCCACCGGAGCUUGCUCCACCGGAAAAAGAGGAGUGGCGAACGGGUGAGUAACACGUGGGUAACCUGCCCAUCAGAAGGGGAUAACACUUGGAAACAGGUGCUAAUACCGUAUAACAAUCGAAACCGCAUGGUUUUGAUUUGAAAGGCGCUUUCGGGUGUCGCUGAUGGAUGGACCCGCGGUGCAUUAGCUAGUUGGUGAGGUAACGGCUCACCAAGGCCACGAUGCAUAGCCGACCUGAGAGGGUGAUCGGCCACAUUGGGACUGAGACACGGCCCAAACUCCUACGGGAGGCAGCAGUAGGGAAUCUUCGGCAAUGGACGAAAGUCUGACCGAGCAACGCCGCGUGAGUGAAGAAGGUUUUCGGAUCGUAAAACUCUGUUGUUAGAGAAGAACAAGGAUGAGAGUAACUGUUCAUCCCUUGACGGUAUCUAACCAGAAAGCCACGGCUAACUACGUGCCAGCAGCCGCGGUAAUACGUAGGUGGCAAGCGUUGUCCGGAUUUAUUGGGCGUAAAGCGAGCGCAGGCGGUUUCUUAAGUCUGAUGUGAAAGCCCCCGGCUCAACCGGGGAGGGUCAUUGGAAACUGGGAGACUUGAGUGCAGAAGAGGAGAGUGGAAUUCCAUGUGUAGCGGUGAAAUGCGUAGAUAUAUGGAGGAACACCAGUGGCGAAGGCGGCUCUCUGGUCUGUAAC